rfam:Gossypium raimondii Chr03_contig_1059, whole genome shotgun sequence.
UAUUAAAAAUUUCAUCUAUUUCUACUGUUAAAAACUGGCAUGGCUGACACAAUAACCAGAUAGUAACAUGUGGUGUGCCACGUGUACAUCAUGUUGACGUACAAAAGCUAGUUUUUAACGGUAGAAAUGAAUCAAUCUUUUAAUA